rnacentral:rRNA from 1 species
UACGGGGGGGGCAAGCGUUGUUCGGAAUUACUGGGCGUAAAGGGCUCGUAGGUGGCCAACUAAGUCAUACGUGAAAUCCCUCGGCUUAACCGGGGAACUGCGUCUGAUACUGGAUGGCUUGAGGUUGGGAGAGGGAUGCGGAAUUCCAGGUGUAGCGGUGAAAUGCGUAGAUAUCUGGAGGAACACCGGAGGCGAAAGCGAGGCGCUGGACCUAACCUGACGCUGAGGCGCGAAAGCCAGGGAGCGAACGGG